UACGUAGGGGGCUAGCGUUGUCCGGAAUCAUUGGGCGUAAAGCGCGUGUAGGCGGUCCGGUAAGUCCGCUGUGAAAGUCGGGGGCUCAACCCUCGAAUGCCGGUGGAUACUGUCGGGCUAGAGUGCGGAAGAGGCGAGUGGAAUUCCUGGUGUAGCGGUGAAAUGCGCAGAUAUCAGGAGGAACACCAAUUGCGAAGGCAGCCCGCUGGGACGUUACUGACGCUGAGACGCGAAAGCGUGGGGAGCAAACAGG
rnacentral:rRNA from 1 species